UAAUACAUCGGAACGUGUCCCGUAGUGGGGGAGUAGCCCGGCGAAAGCCGGAUUAAUACCGCAUAUGCUCUACGGAGGAAAGUGGGGGACUCGCAAGGGCCUCACGCUAUGGGAGCGGCCGAUGUCCGAUUAGCUUGUUUGGCGGGGGUAAUGGCCCACCAAGGCGACGAUCGGUAGCUGGUCUGAGAGGAUGAUCAGCCACACUGGGACUGAGACACGGCCCAG
rnacentral:rRNA from 1 species